AUGUAUGUGUUCGUGUCUGUUACUAAGGUUUCCACUACAGAUGCAAGAAAAAAAGGUCCUCACACUUUCUGUCUGUCGUGGCAGCCAAGAUUGAAUGGAGAAAUACAGGA
ensembl:snoRNA